GUACACACUUCAGCAGCACCUAUACUAAAAUUGGAAUGAUACAGAGAAGAUUAGCAUGACCCCUGCAUGAGAAUGACACACAAAUUCAUGAAGUGUUCCAUAUUUAA